UACGAAGGGGGCUAGCGUUGCUCGGAAUCACUGGGCGUAAAGGGUGCGUAGGCGGGUCUUUAAGUCAGGGGUGAAAUCCUGGAGCUCAACUCCAGAACUGCCUUUGAUACUGAAGAUCUUGAGUUCGGGAGAGGUGAGUGGAACUGCGAGUGUAGAGGUGAAAUUCGUAGAUAUUCGCAAGAACACCAGUGGCGAAGGCGGCUCACUGGCCCGAUACUGACGCUGAGGCACGAAAGCGUGGGGAGCAAACGGG
rnacentral:rRNA from 1 species